rnacentral:rRNA from 1 species
ACCCGCUGAACUUAAGCAUAUCAAUAAGCGGAGGAAAAGAAACCAACCGGGAUUGCCUCAGUAACGGCGAGUGAAGCGGCAAAAGCUCAAAUUUGAAAUCUGGCCUCUUUCGGGGUCCGAGUUGUAAUUUGAAGAAGCGACUCUGGUACCGGCCCUUGUCUAUGUUCCUUGGAACAGGACGUCACAGAGGGUGAGAAUCCCGUGCGAUGAGGGCGCCGGGUACCAUGUAGAGCGUUUUCGACGAGUCGAGUUGUUUGGGAAUGCAGCUCUAAGUGGGUGGUAAAUUCCAUCUAAAGCUAAAUAUUGGCGAGAGACCGAUAGCGAACAAGUACAGUGAUGGAAAGAUGAAAAGAACUUUGAAAAGAGAGUGAAAAAGUACGUGAAAUUGUUGAAAGGGAAGGGCUUGAGAUCAGACAUUGUAUUUCCAUGGCUUUCUUUCGGGGGAGUCCUCUGGGUUUACAGGGCCAGCAUGGGUUCUGCGGGCAAGACGAGGGUUCCAGGAAUGUGACUCCACUGCGGUGGAGAGUUAUAGCCUGGAGACACCGGUUGCCACGCGGGACUGAGGACUGCGGUAUCUAGGAUGCUGGCAUAA